rnacentral:snRNA from 1 species
AGAAGUGAAGACAAUCUGGCUCUGAAAUCAGUCACCAAUGCGAUUGAUUGCCUGGGCUGAUCCAGCUGAUCAGGUUGGCCAUGCGAGUGGUCCCUUCCUCCAUCACUGCUCCAUGUGCCUCGCUCCCCAAAUCUGUGUGCUCAGUGCAAGAGGAUGAUCACCCCUGCUAUAGGAGGACUUUUUCUUUGUCAAAUGUAUGUGAGUAGCCAUGGCCUCCUGCUAGCACCUCCCAACAAGCUGAACAGCACUCUAAUGGCAUGGGAAAUAACAGCAGGAGUCAACAUAGAGAAUUAAAGGUGGCUUAAAUUUUUAUAGGCCCUUCUUC